rnacentral:tRNA from 1 species
GUGCUUGUGGUGUAGAGGUUAUCACAUCCGCCUAACACGCGGAAGGUUCCAGGUUCGAUUCCUGGCAGGCACA